AAGAAUCUCUCUUUUCGUUCCGCGAGGUUGUGGAGGUGAGCAGUGGUAGGCUGUGGGGGCACUGAGGUUUGGCGUGCAGACCUCCAGGGCCUGCGUUGCGGGGUGCGAGGGCGCCACAGACUCCCGGAGUGGGCCGGCAGUUUUGGUGCAAGCCAUUUGCGAACCUGGGUGGGUAGGAAUAAGGUAGGAUUGGGCCUGGUGAGCGAGAGGAGCUGGCUUUUCCCGGGAUCCCCGCGUUGCUCGGGAGGCUCGAGCCGUGGAAAGCAGGCCCCGAGGGCGGAAGGCUUCGUGGCUGCACUGUGUGGCCCGCGCCUCCGCGUUCAUGGGCUUGCUGCCUUGUGUCUGGAUGCAGAUGUUAAAAUUAGGCGUUACGGACAUGUGCACGUUUUGUGAUUUUUUUUCUAAGUGCGAGGUGACCAUUUCUGACGCCUUCUGUGCAGGAGGUGAGAGGAACUACAUCACGUUUACUGAAUUGUCAGAAUUCUGAAGCAAAUUACAAGUGGUGAAUAAACAAUUUGGAGAAGGACUUGGGAGAGUAUGUAACGGGAAUGAAUUUCUCAACUCUAUAAUGGCAUCUAAUUCAGCUGUGGAAAUUGACAGUGAAAGUGAUAACUCUUCUGGUAGCAGCCUAUUUAAAACUCAGUGUGUCCCUUACUCACCUAAAAGGGUGCAAAGAAACCGUCCUAGAAAGUUUGUUCAUUCACCUGAAGUUGCUCAAGCAAGGGAUUCAUCUAGUGACGACUCUUUCGAACCAAGACCGUUGACUUUAAAAGCUAUUUUUGAGAGAUUCAAAAACAGAAAACGAAAACGUAAAAAGAAGAAAUACAAACCAACAGGAAGACCAAAAGGAAGACCAAAAGGGAGAAAAACCAGUAGACGUUCCCAAAUAAAUAAGAAACAAGUUCAAGACAAAGGAUCUGGGUUCCCAUUUUUAGAAUCCGAGAGUGCAAGGAAACCAUUACCUUGGAGAAAGAUUUUAACCUUUGAGCAAGCAGUGGCAAGAGGAUUUUUCAACUACCUUGAAAAACUGAAGUAUGAAUACUACCUCAAGGAAUCCUUGAAACAAAUGAAUGUUGGUGAAGAUUUAGAAAAAGAAGAUUUUGAUAGUCGUAGAUACAAAUACUUGGAUGAUGAUGGAGCUCUGUCGCCUAUUGAAGAGUCAGAAACAGAGGAUGGGUCUGCAACAAAUGUUGAACAAAAUGGCGAAUGUGAUAUCAAAUUGGUGGACCAUAAUGAGUUCAUUAUAAGUUCUCAAGUACCAAAGAUGAAGAAUGUGUAUAUACAACAAGAGGAAUGUACUGAAGAAGCUGCUUUGUCUAAAAAGAGAGCAUCAAAGUCUAAAAACAUUGGACAAGAGUAUAGAAUGGCCUGAAAAGAGAUAGGAAUAUGAAUGUUAAGGCUUUUCACUUGAACACAAUGUCUGGGAUUAAAGGUACAUCUUACACUUUUAGGUGAGUGGAUCAGAUUUGUUGAAAUGUACUUUGUCAGACAGUUCAUACUUCCACGGGUUUCAUUACAUUUUGCGAUUUUAUAAUUUGAUGUUCCAGAAAAACGAAUUUUAGGGGUCACACAUUUUAUAGGGGAAGGUACAAGCUUCACUGUACUUGCAGGAAAGGGUUUCCAUAAACUCUAAGUUAGUUUAUAUUGAAAUAAUCAGAAUACUGGAUAUUUCUGUUUCAUGCAUUUAUUUUAAACCAAAGCAUAAUCUAAAGUAAGAUAUAGGAUUUAACAGUGUAAUGUUAGAAAUGAUUAGAGGACAUAAGAUUACCUAAAUCUGAAUGAUGCAAAGUUUAAUUAAAAAGCACCCAAUUUGUUUAUCUUCCAGUGAUUUUCUAAAUGGGAACAACAAUAUAGCCACCUUAAUAUUUUCCCAUAUUUUUUUAUAAGUGACAUCAAAUAAUGAUCGCUCUUAAGAUGAGGCAAAAAAAUCAAACACUUUGCUGUAAUCUGGGGAUGUCCUAGACAAAAUAAACUGUGAUACUGGAGUUUGCCGAAAUCAAGACUUAAGUAUGGAAAUCUUCCUUUGGUGGUUUCUCUAGUAGCUAUUUUGUACUUACCUUCAGUCUUUGGUCUUUAUUCUCAGUAUAGACUGACUCCUUCCUGUAAGUAUUUUAAAAAUCCUUAAUGUUUAAAAUAUGUGGAAUGAUUUAAUUUGUAAAUACUUGGCUUUUUGCACACCUUUGAACUCAGAGACUUAGAUCACAGUUCUAAUUGCUUUUCCUGUGGAAUCUUCCAAUUUUAAACUAAACAGUGUUGAGGUCUAUCCCGAUGGGGCUUUUUCUGUAGACCUACAUCGUUGGAAACGCCUCAUAGAGUAUUUGUGUGGUUUCCUUUAUUCACAGAACUAUGUGUUAGAUCUGUGGGAAAGAACUGCAAGACACUUAACAUUAUCUGCUAAAACUCUGACCUAAUAGUUAUGUUUUUUAAAUCUUAGGUAUUGGUGUAUCCCAAUAAUCUGUACAGUUCUAGGGUGGAUAGUUUAGGUAAGUUUUCAUUGGGGACAGUAUAAUCUUUGGGGCACUGUUACAGUUCAGAUGAUGAAUUUAAUUGUUCAACUGCUGGAUGAUACAGACAUGAACUAAAACUUAAUUCUGACAGAGCUGGUUAUAGCUUAAAAAAACAGUUUGGAUACUAAUCAUAUAUUUAGGUUUUAGAUUUUAAUCAAACUUAAAACUGUCCUUAAUCUUUUGAUGUUUUAUCUAUAGGGGUGAAUAUGAUUUGAACUCACUCAUAUUUAGAGGGUGUUUGAAAUUGAGAACCAGACAGAUCCACACUCAGACCCUAAACAGGGCCCUGAAGUAAAGACAUUGGAUCCCAAAGAUUAUAGGUAAGAUUUCCCCUAAGAAGCCCUAGGAGAUGGAAUCCAUUAAUUUACCUAAUUUUGAAAGCCACUAGUCCUGGUAGUUCAUUAUCUCACCACUUUAAACACAAAACCCUAGAUGUUGAAAGGCUGCAGUUUGUGUUUAUACUGUUUGCCAGUGAUUUGUGAUGUUAUGAUGAUGGGCAAAAUGUUCAACUGCUCUGAAUGCGCUGAAUGAAAGUAGCCUUUCUGAACAUCCAUCUAAAUGAGAUCUGUGCUUUCCAGCAAAAGCUCUAAAGUAAAAGUUAACUGAAACGUGAGUAGUUACUUUGGAGUUAACCGGAGGGCAUUUCAUGCCAAUUAGGGUAUGAAUGCAAAUGAAUAUAGCUUUAGUUUAAAAUAUCUUUGUUCCCAACAUUUAAAUGAAUUGGAUUGAAAGCAGUUAUUCCAACUCUGUAGUUUUAAGUCGGCAAUUUUCAGCACAUAUUAGUAUAGAACUGGGUUUCAGGAUACUUGGGAACCUAAUUAACUGCAUUUUGAAAAGUAGAGUCUGAACUUUAAAAUUUUCCAUAGGUGGGGAGUUCUUAAAUUAUGUCCGUAUUCAAAUGGAGAUGCAAGAAACCCAGCUGAAAGAACUCUGGCAAGUUAAUUUGCUGUUGCACUGUAUAAUGGUAUAAUGGUCAUUACCAAGGCUUUGAGAAUGCAGUUUCUCAUUUGCUGUGGACAUGACCAUAAAAAAAUUUUCCCACUAGGUUUUCUUUCUUUCUGCUACUUUGCUAGCAUUCAGCCUAUUGGGAACAUUUUACCAACUAUGUUCUAUUUCCAUUGCCUUAGAUUAGCCCUGUCCAGUAUAAAUUUAACAGAAGCCAUACGUGAUUUGGUAAUGGUCCUAUUUCAGCUUCUCAUCUGAACAUACAUGGCUAGUAUACUGAACAGUGCAUUCCUAGAUCUCUAAGAGAUGUCUUUUGCUAACUCCUUCCAUAUUGUAAAUAACCAUGCAACUUGUAAUGUAAUAUAUUUAAUAGAGGGAGGCUGGCUUCAGUUUACAUGAUCAUCUCUGGAAAUGGAACCUUACUUUAUGUUCCUGUUAUAUAGGAGUGACAGUGACAACUGUGGAUUGAUCAAGUUCUUUUUAAAAGGGCUGUUUUGAAGAUUAUGAUUCUAACUUUGGAGGAACUAUGGUGAUGAGCAGUGACUGGCAGUGGAAGUAAUCACAUAUAAAAACUCCUUAAAUAAAAAUUUAUUGGCUUUAAAUAA